GGCGGCGUGCUUACACAUGCAAGUCGAACGAUGAACACCAGCUUGCUGGUGGGAUUAGUGGCGAACGGGUGAGUAACACGUGAGUAACCUGCCCUUGACUCUGGGAUAAGCGUUGGAAACGACGUCUAAUACCGGAUAGGACUCCUGGCCGCAUGGUCUGGGGGUGGAAAGAUUUUUUGGUCAAGGAUGGACUCGCGGCCUAUCAGGUUGUUGGUGAGGUAAUGGCUCACCAAGCCGACGACGGGUAGCCGGCCUGAGAGGGUGACCGGCCACACUGGGACUGAGACACGGCCCAGACUCCUACGGGAGGCAGCAGUGGGGAAUAUUGCACAAUGGGCGCAAGCCUGAUGCAGCAACGCCGCGUGAGGGACGACGGCCUUCGGGUUGUAAACCUCUUUUAGUAGGGAAGAAGCGAAAGUGACGGUACCUGCAGAAAAAGCACCGGCUAACUACGUGCCAGCAGCCGCGGUAAUACGUAGGGUGCAAGCGUUGUCCGGAAUUAUUGGGCGUAAAGAGCUCGUAGGCGGUUUGUCGCGUCUGCUUGUGAAAUCUGGGGGCUCAACCCCCAGCCUGCAGUGGGUACGGGCAAGACUAGAGUGCGGUAA
rnacentral:rRNA from 2 species